UCUAGAAGCAGUGUUAACAUCACAUCAGGUGAUGGGGUGAGGCCCUACUAGUAGCUCAUCAGCCACAGCUGUAAUGGAAGAUUAGGCAACUAAAUCACGGAGUCAACUUUAUGGGUUCUGAAUUUAGGUGGUUUAGUCUUAUUAAUAGCACAGGUUUCAAAAUCUUUGCCUAUACCUUCACUCCCUGCACUUCAGUGUUUUCUGAUGGAAAUGUUGCAGGAUUUUCAGUUCUCCAAGCUUACUUCAAUUUAGGUUUUUUUUUUUUCUUUCUUUCUCUCUGGAGCCAUGACUGAAACAUUUCAGCUGGAGAUCCUGAUGACUGUAUCUGGGUUCAGUUGCUGUAUGCUUUAAAUUCUUCAGCUCCUGAGGGUACUAGAAGAGGCACCCAGCCUUUAAGCAGACUGUUUUAGUAGAGAAGCAAGUGCUGCUGUUUUACAUUUUGGUGGUGAACAUUGAAAUGACAGUGUCCAAUCUGUCCACAAAGCAGCCAUAGUCCACAGGACGGAGCAUCAACACUGCAGUAAUGAGGAAGUUUUCAAAGAAGCUGAGGUGAUCUGAAGCUCAAUGAAAAAGCGUUAGUCAUACAUGAAAUGUUUUCUACCUGGAAACUUCAGAAUCAACAGGUUCUCCAAGAGAAGACACUGUACAUGGUAGGAUUUCAGAGGACAGCCUGAGCUCCCAGCCUCUAUAGGGAUCACCAACAUACAAAUCAGGUGUGUGCGAAGGAUCGGUGCCUAUUUUGAUAAUCAGACCCAGAGACAGUGACCACGUUCGGUGGCAAGUAGGAAACCAUAAAGGUCAAGAAUUUUUAUAUAUUUUUUUCUUUUGUGCAUUCUGGAAUUCUUCUCUUUCUUUUCUAGACCAAAUCCUAGUUACAUUCACCUAUCCGCUGAAUUUCUAAUAUUGAAAAAGUUUAUGUAGCAGAUCAUGUUAAUUAAGAACUAGUACAAUUUUCUUUUGUUUGUUUGUGGUAUGAGAUCAUGUUUCUUGUAUUGCUUCAGUUCUUUAAUUUGAUUGCUACAAGAGACAGCCAGUCAUAUAUUCAACUAAUGUGAAACAAUAAUAAUAAGUUCAUUCGUGAAUCAAUUGACAAAACAGAUUCAGUGCAUGUAUCCACUCUGUAAUGAGAUAUACGGAAAAAACAUUAGUGGAGGACAGGAACUCUGUAGUGAGCACCUGAGAUUGCACAGACCAGCUAACCUAGGGAUGAGCAGAAGGAUAAUUAUUUGAAUAAUUAUGUUAUCUUCUACCCUGAUCUCUCACAUAUUCUGUUAAAUUAGCUUUGUCAUGACAGACAGACCGUGGUCAGGCCUAUCCAAAUUGAAAAGAUUGUAUCUACACUCUUUCCUAGAAAUUACAUUGUGAGCUGGCUCAGAGGAAUUCAAUGAGUUAGCUAAGUUAAGGCAUGGGAACAUCACAACUGUCACCAAGCACCUUGGCUUCUGCAGCUUGAAGAGUGCUUGUUAGAAAGCAGUACUUAUUUCCUUCCUGAUAUGGUUCUCCUGUUACAUUUAAUGUGUCUGCUGCAGUGAGCAGUGAAAUGUAUUAUUUUCUGAAUCUAAGGUGGCACUGUGCUGCAGCACAGAGAUGUCCUUCUUGGAGGCUUCUUCAGGAUCUCUGCAAGGUUUUGGUAGUAGGCUUCAGAAUAAACUGGAUGCAGAAUGAUAUUUAAGAUCUUAUCUAUCAAGUCAUGGCUGCAGAGACAAGAAAAGCAUAGGCACUGCACGAGGGCUCUAUCACAGGUUUGGCUGCUGAAGCAAAAAAUGAAAUGGAACUCUUGAGUACCCAAACACCAGUGCUUCAGAUGAGUUCCUGUGAUCUUGCUAUCACCAUAACAAGGAAUCUUCUUGCUUAUAUAUGUCUGUUUUUGCAGUUCUUGUUUGCUCAGUGGUAAGAGCAUUAUCAAUAAGAUUUUUCUGGG
ensembl:lncRNA